AACAAGCUCCUCCCUCAGGAGCCCGUCGUGGCAUGAAGGAGAGCCAAUAAACGCCGUACCGAGGGCUUGAUUUCUCCCCCAAGUGUCAUUCAAAGCCCGGCUUCAGCGGGAAACUUGGUAUCUUUUCCCCAUCGGGAUCCCGGCAAGGUGCUUUUUUGCAGAAUGACGCCUAUCUUGACUGCAGAUGCCAGACUGACAUUUUCCAGAGCUGAGGAGAUGGAAAAGUUACAGCCCCAGCUGAUUGUAGAUUUAGGUGAAUGGCUUCAGGACUCCUGGGGAGAGGAAGAAGCUGGGCCCACCAGUGCCUGAAUGAUGUCCAUUAUUUGAAAUUCCUGGUGCUCCUCAGCUCACACAGAGCCCUCCCGGAAGGAAAAGAGAAGUUCUUCAGUGCUAAGAUCAAGGGAAAAGGAGCACUGCUUUCUCAGCCUUCUCAUGCUUCCUGUAUGGCCAUCAGCAAGUCACACGUCGUGUCUCUGUGAAAGGUAGGAGGGCCCACGUUAUUUCACAAAACUUCUCUGUAGAGACAAAAUGGGAAUCUGCUUCCUCUCAACUUACAGGAUAGAACUAAGCAGCAGGUAGAUUUAAACUAAGCCUAGUGUUUAGUUCUCCUGCCAAAAGUAACAAAAUGAGCUGAAUUUCCUGUCUUUGAUCAGAUCAGGCACUCUGAACACUCUGGACAGAUUCUGCUUCAUUUUUGAAAGGGAAAAGCAUAGUAAAUGCCUAUUAACUAAGGAAACUUUGGCAUGGAAGUCGAUCCGCUUAAACUGUGACAAUUCCCGGUUUCAGCAGACGAGGGCAGUGUUGCUCUGACGAACUUAAUUUGCAAAAGAAUCUUGGAAUAUUUGACGGAAUUUAGGAAAGGACAGAGCCAGCUGCCUCGACUGAUGAUAAAUACAGGGUUUGAUUGGGACCCCUGAAAAGUGAAAUCAGUGCUAAUUUUUCCUGCUUUAGCAGUGCAGUGCUCGAUGAGGGAAAGGGUUCUGACAUGACUGUUCCAAAUUUAUUUUCUCUUACGCCACAACUGUGCAAAACUUCAAACAUAUUCUUCUGUGUGGAAAGCACUUUGCUGAGCCUGGGUUCUUUUGGCUGUAUCCCAUCAAGGAGUAUGUCAGCUCUGUCCUCAGAGGAACUCCUGUGUGGAAUAAGAGCCCGCUGAGGAAGUAGCACAGUAUCUGGCAGCCCUUUUUUGGGUGAUUGAUCAAACCUCUUUCCUUAGUUGGUUGUGAGUCUCUGAUACAUGGAAGCACCUGGAUGUGACCUUUUUAGAGCUGGAUUAACAGGAUGAAAAAAUACCAAAUCUGGAGGUGGUAAGAGGAGAAAAUCCUGUGCCUGCAAUGGUGACAAAUCUGAUGUAGUUUGGCAAAAAUGAUGUUUGAUUCAGCACUUGAAACGAACCACAGUGCUGGAGGAGAAGUAAACUGUCUCAGAAAUAUGUUGAUAACUUUUAAUCAUCAGAUGCAGCAGACCCCAUGAGAAGUAGAGCUCUCACUGGAAAUCUGGUGUCCGCAGACAGCUGUGGUGACAAACGUUUCCUGUGGGAAAUGGAUGUAAUCCAGAGGAGUGCCUCGGGCUGUUAACGGGCUGGUGUGUCCUUACACAGCCUUACCUAGUGCUGCUGGCUGUGGAGAGGAGGAGGCACGGCCUCGGGAGAGCUCCCGGAGCCUUCGCCUGGCCCUGGAAGGGCUGUGCAGAGCAUUGGACAUGAAUUGCUCUUUGUGGUGGCUUGGAGCGAGGGUUUUCACACUGAAACAUUAGGAGAGCAAAACUUCAGAAAUCUGAUUUGAGUCAGGCUAAAGGGUGAGCUCUGGAUAAUAGCAAUCCGUGAGCCUGACCAGGUUGUGAGGCUAAUGAAAACUCAGGCCCUGGGAGGGAAGCUGAGGGGGCAAAGCUCAGGAUAAGCAAGGAUUGGGAAAUCAUCUACCAUGAAAAAUAAAGCGAGGGGCCUCUUUUCUGCAUUUGUCUCCAUGGCUCUUGGGAAUGAGACCUGGCACACGUGGGGCAAAUGGAAAGCUCUGGGAACCUGUAACACCUUAAAGGAAAUGGAAUGGGAAUGGGGUGGCACGGACAAAUGCAAGGAAUCCUGGGUUUAGAGUCCCAGCUCCAAAGCUUUUCCCCCACCGUUCAUUAAGGUUUUGUUAACACAAGGCCCUGAGAGCUUGCAAAACCCGAAGGAGAAAUAAUGCACAUUCCAUGCACAGUGAGAUCAAAAGCUGGGAGUGCCUUAGAGGCAGACGCUACUGUGUGUUUCCUCAGCUCUGCCAACAGGAAAGGCAGUGGGCUCUGGUCUUCUCUCUCUAUUGUCCUGUUUGAGAUCCAGCUAAAAAUUAAAAAUCAGGAAAGGUUUUGCACACCUCUAGUGACACAUGCUGUGAUAUAUGUUAAGGGAUGAGCCAAGUCCCAAAGUCUACGUGCACAUAUGGAAGAGCAGAUCCACCCACAUGCACAUGUUCUACAGUAGGUAACUGCCUGCAUUAAUAAAAGUAUCCGGAGUUUUCGUGCUGUUUCUUAUUCCAUUUAUUAGGAAAGCAUUGGCCUUUUCUGGCAAUGUAAAUGGGGAAAAGAAAUAUGUCCAGGGAAGCUGAUAGGCUCCACGCAGAGGAAAAGCGCUUUAUGAGAGCAGAAUUAUUAGCAGUGCUCCACUGAGCUGAUUUGGAACAGGUCCAUUGUGUUUUCAGCAACUGGCAGUUUGAAUUGUUACAAUUCCUUGGCAAGGACAAUAGAAAGAUGGUGGUUUCCGGGGGCAUAAUAAAAGGGUGAGCCCCAGCUUUUGCACACUGCAUUUUAUAAUUGCGUGCUUGAUGUGCACAAUUGGGCAGCACUGCCUUACUUGCCUUAAUCCAUCUCUCUCUCUCUCUCUCCCCCCUCACUUCCUCACCCUCCCUCAGAGCAGCAGUAGCUGCUGCAGCUCUGGCAGCUCAUUGGGGAGAGCGCCGAAAAUGAAAAGAGUUCAGCUAUUGCCUUAACAUUUUUCCCAGAGGAUUCAUUUCACCUGCUUCUCCAGCUUUCCCAAUGGUUUCUUUUUCACUCUUUAAUCCAAUAAGUAUGGAGUUAUUUCACAUUUUAAACCCCUCUAAAGGGUUUUAGGAAUGGACUUGCUCUCUCCUUCCUCCUCCCCCAGCCUUUUUUUUUUUUU